UACGGGGGGAGCAAGCGUUGUUCGGAUUUACUGGGCGUAAAGGGCGCGUAGGCGGCGUGACAAGUCACUUGUGAAAUCUCCGGGCUUAACUCGGAGCGGCCAAGUGAUACUGUCGUGCUAGAGUGCGGAAGGGGCUACUGGAAUUCUCGGUGUAGCGGUGAAAUGCGUAGAUAUCGAGAGGAACACCUGCGGCGAAGGCGGCAUCCUGGACCGACACUGACGCUGAGGAGCGAAAGCCAGGGGAGCAAACGGG
rnacentral:rRNA from 1 species